UGAACUUACCCUGCCAAUGCUUUCCAGCAAAUGCCUGUUUAUGCAGGAGUAUCUAGUGCACCAUGUACAGGAUUGAGAAUGUAUUUUUCCUUACACAUGUUCAAAGAAAGUGUUGAAUUCUAUUAAUUUCUUCUCUCUCUCUCCUUUAUUUUUUUGCAGAGAUAAUGUCUCAGCUGGAGUACUCUGUGUGGUGUUGGGUGCCACAUUCCCAGAGAGAUCUAAACCAGCUGGAGCGAAUCCAGAAGGGAGCUGCAGAAAGGCUGAAAAUUACGACCUACCGGGAAGAAUGACUGUGUUGGGGUUUCUUUGCUUAAAGGAAAGAAGAUUAAGGAUGGGGGAAGGGAGAAUGAUAAUAUUCCUCAAAUAUGCAAAAGACUACUGCUGAGAGAAGAGGGAAAAAAAAUUCUUCCUGGUGGAAAGCAAAAGAAAUAAGGGGUUGAAAUUGCAGCAAGAACAACUUGAGUAAGGCAUUAUGAAAAAGCUUUCUAACAAGAAUUAAAAUGAAGCACUAGAUAGGGUUGUCUGAAGAAACAUGUUACAGACCCCACCAUGAAGUCUCUAAAAGCAAAUUCACAAC